rnacentral:rRNA from 1 species
GACGAACGCUGGCGGCGUGCUUAACACAUGCAGGUCGAACGGAAAGGCCCAGCUUGCUGGGUGCUCGAGUGGCGAACGGGUGAGUAACACGUGGGUGAUCUGCCCCUAACUUCGGGAUAAGCUUGGGAAACUGGGUCUAAUACCGGAUAGGACAAUCGUUUAGUGUCGGUUGUGGAAAGUUUUUUCGGUUAGGGAUGAGCCCGCGGCCUAUCAGCUUGUUGGUGGGGUAAUGGCCUACCAAGGCGUCGACGGGUAGCCGGCCUGAGAGGGUGGACGGCCACAUUGGGACUGAGAUACGGCCCAGACUCCUACGGGAGGCAGCAGUGGGGAAUAUUGCACAAUGGGCGCAAGCCUGAUGCAGCGACGCCGCGUGGGGGAUGACGGCCUUCGGGUUGUAAACCUCUUUCGACAGGGACGAAGCUUUGGUGACGGUACCUGUAUAAGAAGCACCGGCUAACUACGUG